UCCUCUGUGGACUAUAAUUGGACCCCCGAGUUGACCAGAACUUCGGAGACUCCCCCGACACGACAGACGGAUCCCCAUCGUCCGGACCACUGAGGAUCUCGCCUGUGUUGAAGAACUCCGAGGGACAUGAAGACCACCUAAUCCAUGAUAAAACUGGUAAUACUUUUCUGCAUCCUACCACAACCCCAUGGCCAGAAACCAGCUGAGUGACCAUGGUCUGAAAUAAUUGUGGUAGCAUGCAGAAAAAGUGAAAGGAUCUCUUUAAGCACAAAAAGCUCCAGUUACUUCACAUGAACUUUUAGAAUCCAAUCUCACGUUGAUUCACAAGCUAUUGCCUACUCCCAUUGGGAUGAACCUUACUCUGGUAAAGCAAUUAUUACUUCAUCAAGAUCUAAUAGAGAUCCUAGGAAAAAUCAAGGGGAAUGGACAGAAAACUCUGGUAACUGUUCAUCAUGAUGUGCAAGAAAUACAUCGUGUUGUAGAAAGGGUGAAAAGUGAUGCCGAGCACAAGUGGUGGGAUACCCUUUUCGGGUGGUCACCCACCGCCACCGGUAUCCUGAACAAAUUGUGCCAUCCCAUUGUUGUUCUUCUGAUUUUAGUUAUGAUUGGUUUUGUUUUAUCAGUAAUCUUGCUUAUUGUAAAUUGGAAAAUGAUGAAACGAUUAACAAAAUUAACAUCUAUAAUUAAUGCACACCACUUGGCCGACAUCCUUUACACUAUAGAUGUUCCCAAAACUGUAGACACAAGAAGAUUAUAAGCU